rnacentral:rRNA from 1 species
UACAGAGGGUGCGAGCGUUAAUCGGAGUUACUGGGCGUAAAGGGCGCGUAGGCGGUUCUUUAAGUGAGAUGUGAAAUCCCCGGGCUUAACCUGGGAACUGCAUCUUAUACUGAGGAGCUGGAGUACUGUAGAGGGUAGUGGAAUUUCCGGUGUAGCGGUGAAAUGCGUAGAGAUCGGAAGGAACACCAGUGGCGAAGGCGGCUACCUGGACAGAUACUGACGCUGAGGCGCGAAAGCCAGGGGAUCAAACGGG